GAUGAACGCUGGCGGCGUGCCUAAUACAUGCAAGUCGAGCGAACAGACGAGGAGCUUGCUCCUCUGACGUUAGCGGCGGACGGGUGAGUAACACGUGGAUAACCUACCUAUAAGACUGGGAUAACUUCGGGAAACCGGAGCUAAUACCGGAUAACAUGUUGAACCGCAUGGUUCAACAGUGAAAGACGGUCUUGCUGUCACUUAUAGAUGGAUCCGCGCCGCAUUAGCUAGUUGGUAAGGUAACGGCUUACCAAGGCAACGAUGCGUAGCCGACCUGAGAGGGUGAACGGCCACACUGGAACUGAGACACGGUACAGACUCCUACGGGAGGCAGCAGUAGGGAAUCUUCCGAAAUGGGCGAAAGACUGACGGAGCAACGCCGCGUGAGUGAAGAAGGUCUUCGGAUCGUAAAACUCUGUUAUUAGGGAAGAACAAAUGUGUAAGUAACUAUGCACGUCGUGACGGUACCUAAUCAGAAAGCAACGGCUAACUACGUG
rnacentral:rRNA from 1 species